AUUGAACGCUGGCGGCAGGCUUAACACAUGCAAGUCGGACGGUAACAGGAGGAAAGCUUGCUUUCUUUGCUGACGAGUGGCGGACGGGUGAGUAAUGCUUGGGAAUCUGUUUUAUGGAGGGGGAUAACUACGGGAAACUGUAGCUAAUACCGCGUAAUAUCGAGAGAUUAAAGUGUGGGACCGUAAGGCCACAUGCCAUAGAGUGAGCCCAAGUGGGAUUAGGUAGUUGGUGGGGUAAAGGCCUACCAAGCCGUCGAUCUCUAGCUGGUCUGAGAGGAUGACCAGCCACACUGGGACUGAGACACGGCCCAGACUCCUACGGGAGGCAGCAGUGGGGAAUAUUGCACAAUGGGCGCAAGCCUGAUGCAGCCAUGCCGCGUGAAUGAAGAAGGCCUUCGGGUUGUAAAGUUCUUUCGGUGGUGAGGAAGGUUGUAAUGUUAAUAGCAUUAUAAUUUGACGUUAGCCACAGAAGAAGCACCGGCUAACUCCGUGCCAGCAGCCGCGGUAAUACGGAGGGUGCGAGCGUUAAUCGGAAUAACUGGGCGUAAAGGGCACGCAGGCGGAUACUUAAGUGAGGUGUGAAAGCCCUGGGCUUAACCUAGGAAUUGCAUUUCAUACUGGGUAUCUAGAGUAUUUUAGGGAGGGGUAGAAUUCCACGUGUAGCGGUGAAAUGCGUAGAGAUGUGGAGGAAUACCGAAGGCGAAGCAGCCCCUUGGGGGAAUACUGACGCUCAUGUGCGAAAGCGUGGGGAGCAAACAGG
rnacentral:rRNA from 1 species